rnacentral:rRNA from 1 species
AACGAACGCUGGCGGCGCGCCUAAUACAUGCAAGUCGAACGAGAAGGUGUAGCAAUACACUUGUAAAGUGGCGAACGGGUGAGGAAUACAUGGGUGACCUACCCUCGAGUGGGGAAUAACCAGCCGAAAGGUUGGCUAAUACCGCGUACGCUUCCCAGUCUACGGGUUGGGAAGGAAAGCGAUGCCGUGGGUAUCGCGCUCAAGGUUGGGCUCAUGUCCUAUCAGCUUGUUGGUGAGGUAACGGCUCACCAAGGCAACGACGGGUAGCUGGUCUGAGAGGACGAUCAGCCACACUGGCACUGCGACACGGGCCAGACUCCUACGGGAGGCAGCAGUAAGGAAUAUUGCGCAAUGGGCGAAAGCCUGACGCAGCGACGCCGCGUGGGGGAUGAAGGUC